GAUAAACUUCAAAAAUACUUAUCUUCCAUCUAGCAAUCCAGUAUCAGACUCUCUUAAAUUAUUUGCUGAAAAUGAAAUGAUGCUUACCGUAUCAUGGCAAUGAUAGCGAGACGAAACUUGGCGUAUGUUAUUUCCUUUGGGAAAUUCAAAUUACCCGAAGACACUUGCCUUUGUACAUAUGCAACAUAAUAUUUGUACAUAGGUAAACUGAACAAGAAUAAAAAAGAAAAAACAUUCAAAA